CAGCAGCCGCGGUAAUACAUAGGUCCCGAGCGUUGUCCGGAUUUAUUGGGCGUAAAGCGAGCGCAGGCGGUUAGAAAAGUCUGAAGUGAAAGGCAGUGGCUCAACCAUUGUAGGCUUUGGAAACUGUUUAACUUGAGUGCAGAAGGGGAGAGUGGAAUUCCAUGUGUAGCGGUGAAAUGCGUAGAUAUAUGGAGGAACACAGGUGGCGAAAGCGGCUCUCUGGUCUGUAACUGACGCUGAGGCUCGAAAGCGUGGGGAGCAAACAGGAUUAGAUACCCGAGUAGUCCCUGUCUCUUAUACA
rnacentral:rRNA from 1 species